ACGGAAGAUCCGAGCGUUAUCCGGAAUUACUGGGCGUAAAGAGUUGCGUAGGUGGUGGUUUAAGUCUGCUGUGAAAGCCCUGGGCUCAACCUGGGAAUUGCAGUGGAUACUGGGUCACUAGAGUGUGGUAGAGGGAUGCGGAAUUUCUGGUGUAGCAGUGAAAUGCGUAGAGAUCAGAAGGAACAUCCGUGGCGAAGGCGGCAUCCUGGGCCAACACUGACACUGAGGCACGAAAGCGUGGGGAGCAAACAGGA
rnacentral:rRNA from 1 species